AUGUUCACAUUGUUAAUUAGAAACUCAUAAAAUCUGACGAAGCGAGUCUUGUUACUAUGUUUUCUCUUCUCUCUUCUCAUUGACGAAGGAAUAUUCACUAUGUUGUGUAAAAUAGUUCCGUCUUUUCUGUGCAUUUGUCUAUUAUACAUUUUCUACGUUGAAGCAAGAUCCGGUGGAUGUAUGAUAAACAACAAGUUUAUAAAGACUGGAGAUGAAUAUAAUCCAAUUGGUCAAUGUAUCAGCUAUAAAUGUGCCAAAGAUAAUUUUUUUAUAAAAAAAGCAUGUCAAAGCUUUUCCAUCCCACGAGGUUCCAAAUGUAUCAAAACGAAAACAGAUCUGAUGAAGCCGUAUCCGGCCUGCUGUGCAAGAGUUCUUUGUCCUUAGGGAGUUUUAAUCACUAUAAUGUACACUGUGAAUUACUUUGCUCACAAUAGUUUGCAAAAUAUGUUUUAAUAAAUACACUAUUUUUCAAAGAAAUUCUGUUUAUUCCAUAAUUAGGUUCAGGGUAUGUAGCAGGGAUGAAUAAAUGAUACUUAAGCCAUGUUAUGUUGUACUAAGAAACAACAUUGUUCAAAUUGUCAGUACAAUUAAAAGUAGUGAGUAAAUA